GGGGCUGUGGCUCAGUGGUGGAGCUCUUGCCUAGCAUGUGUGAGGCCCUGGGUUUGAUUCCCCAGCACCA
rnacentral:tRNA from 1 species